GGGGGGAGGUGAUGGCGUUCCUCCCACACACACAUCCUCUUAACCCCUUCUUACCAAUGCCUAACCGCCAAUGCCAAGGAGUCGUGACGAGUUGCUAUGAGGUAGGCGAAAAACCAAAUGGCUGUAAAUUGUCAAUUGGGAAAAAUUCCUACCAUGCCCCUUGCGGCGACAGACCGAAGUCCAUAGCAAAGUCAGAGACCUACCUAAAGCCUACCUAAAGGUAGGGAGGGUGGGAAACGUGGUGGCUAGCCGGCAAAAAGAGGGCGAGCCCCCUCUGCGCCAGCCCUAAAUAGGGCAGGCCACGCCCCCCCAGCCAGCCGAUUGGCUGGCUGAGGGGAAGACGCGCCGGGAUUCCCCUGUUCUCGCGGGGGCUGAACCAGCCCCUGCUCACGUGGGGGUGGGCGUGAAGCCCGCAACCCCACCUCCUGGGCAGGCCGGAAGUGGCUUUAUACCCUGCUCUUCAGCCAAAAAGGCUCCCAGAGUGGCUUGUCUGAAAUCAAAACAAGACACUUCAUACCUGCAGGCUUACAUUCUGAAAAAUAAAAUUUAACAAUAACAACACACAAGGAACAAGGGACCAGGAGGGAAGAGAAAAAUAAAGCUCCAGACUCAGGCACCAGUUGUUCCUAUAUUGACCAGCUGGCGUAGUUCAAUUCCAUAGUUUAACUGUGUUGUGGGGGAGGGGAAAAUAUUUUGUCUGCAUAGAAUCAAGAAGGUAUCUUCUCUCUGAGGAAAGAAGGUUCCAAAUUCAAUUCCCAGCAUAUCUGGGUAGGAGGAGGAAAGACUUCUGCCUAAAACCCUGGAGUGCUGCUGCCAGUCAGUGUAGAUCAUACUGAGCUAGAUGGACCAAUGGUCUGACUCAGUAUGAGGCAGCUUCCUGUGUUCCAGCAUUCAGAUAUUCCCUGGUUGUAGCUUUAUGAGAGAGGGAAGACAAAUUCCCCCUCUCUGCUUCCUCCACACCUGCCUACCUGCCUAUCAUAUAGAUGCCCAUUAAAAAAACCAUUUUAUACCCUUGAGCUUUGGGGAAAGUCAGCCUCCGAUCUUUUGUUGUGGUUUCUUGGCUGCUACUCUUGCUACUGAUGGUUCUCUCCCCGUCUUGUUUUGUUGUUUCUUAAUUCACGUAGAUUUGAUUUUACAGUGUUUUACCUUGGUGCGUUUUCCACUUUGAAGAACCCGUGGGCUACAAAUGUGGGUUGCACAUUUUGAAAUAAAUAAAAAUACAAAAAGGGGGGGGGGACAUCACUGAGAUUGGCGCCCGUGAAUUUGGUCCAAGACGACCAGCCAAAAAUCAGACAACCUAAUCUAGCCUGAAAUGAGCCUUGAAUGGAUUUCCUAGCGGAUGAAAGCAGCCACCUGGGCUGUCCAGACGCAAACUAUUUGAAAUGGGAAAUCAGGAGGAACGCUUUUAAGGUCAGACAGCCCAUUUUGUUUUCAAAGGCGAAGAAAGACCCAGACACGUAUGUCAGAGAGAAAUCCUCCCUCCCUUUUGAAAGGUGGAUGGUUGGGGGGGGGACGGACAAAGGGAAGACGAAACAAAAGGUGUGGAAGAACAAGCGAUCCAGAUUUGCAUCUUGAGAACGAUUUUGAAAGAGGCUUCUUCUCAGGAGCGACUUGGGGGUUUUCAGCAGCCUGCUUUGUAUAUCCUGAUCAAUCCAAAUUGGUCCAUGCAGCUGAUAAGUAUCGCUGAGUCACCGGGAAUCUUUUCCAGGGUUUCCCCAAUUGCCUUUUCCAUCUGAGAGAGGCGGAACGAGAUGAAUCAGGGCCGGGUAACAAAAGAAUUCUGAGCGUGACUAGAAGCAGUCUAUCUUUCUUUCUUUCCCUCCUUUCUUUUUCCUAACCGAAUUGUACUGUGCAGGUGACUAAGUGCCAAUCACUGGAGUUUUUAUUAUUACGAACGGGACCUGCAAGGAAAUGUUGCUGCGCGCAGAGCUCUGGUUCCAGAUUCCAACCUGCCUCGCCCCUUUCCCGAGUACAGUGGUGCCCCGCAAGACGAAUGCCUCGCAAGACGGAAAACCCGCUAGACGAAAGGGUUUUCCGUUUUUGAGUUGCUUCGCAGGACGAAUUUCCCUAUGGGCUUGCUUUGCAAGACGAAAAUGUCUUGCGAGUCUUGAGAUUUUUUUUUUGCUCCCCCCCCCCUUUUUCUAAGCCGCUAAGCCACUAAUAGCCUUUUAGCAGCUAAGCCGCUAAGCCGAUAAGCCUUUAAUAGCCGCUAAACCGCUAAUAGCGCUAAGCCGCUAAGCCGCUAAUAGGGUUGCUUCGCAAGACGAAAAAACCGCUAGACGAAGACACUCAAGGAACGGAUUAAUUUCGUCUUGCAAGGCACCACUGUACUCCAUUCCGUUUUCCCCUCCCCCUCCUUUUCCCCUCUGGAGGGCACCAGGUUGCGGCAGGCGCCAUCAGCCUGGUGUCUGCCAUUCUGGGGUCAGAGAGGCGAUGGCCGUCGGGUGAACCGUCCAGUGUGCUCUGAGAAUGUGAUACAAUCAUAUCCUGUGUGAAUCAAGAACAGGACAGGCUGUGUAACUUACUCCUGAUGACAAUGGCCAGGCACUCUCCUAUUUAUGACCAGCUCCUCCAUGCACUCCUUGGCCAACACCCCAGUAUGGCUGGCCUCCUUCCCACAAUCUGAAUGACAGCCCUUAAAAAGUGAAAGAGGGAAGCUCUGUGGAAAGGGCGUUUGCAUCGCAUGGAUCACUAAGUGCUUGGCAGCUGUUUGCACACAACUCCUCGUCAGAGUCCCCCUGCCCUAGAGAAGUCAGCCUCUCUGCUUGCAUGCAUUUAGUGUUGUCAUGGUCCUUUGCAGAAUAACAUAAGUGAAAACACGGGGGGGGGGCCUGUAUUCAACUAUGGCUGAAUGCACACCAUACAGUUCAAGUACAUCUAAAGCACCCCCUCCAAAGAAUCCUGGGAAUUGUAGUAUGUUCAGGGUGCUGGGAAUUAUAGUUUCCAGGAUUCUUGGGGGUGAGGGAGAAAUAUGCUUCAAGUGGGGUGGAAUUCACCAUGGCGCUAAGCGGAAUAUGCCCAUGGGGAACAAGGUCCACUCAUACAGUGGGAGUUUCCUCCCUGUUGUAAACUUGUCCUGGGGGUUCCUCCAGCCCUCGAGUAGAUUUAACAGGUGUGGGGCAGCCCAUGGUGGGGAGAGGGAGGGAAGUCCCGUUGCCUGAGUAGACUUCAUCUCACACACAACAGCUUAGCUGAAUCCCAUCCACGGUGUGUAUGCAGGCCUAAGUAUUACUUAAAGUAGACCCGCUGAAAUUGGUAGACUUAAGAGAGUCAUGUUCAUUCAUUCAAAUGGGUCUACUCUGAGCAGGACUAGCUUUGGCUACAACUGACAGGUCCUUGAUUCAGGGAACUUACAAAAUUGGAUAUAGUUUGGAAGGGAUGUCUCACUGUAAGAACAUAAAAACUCUGAAAGACAGCCUUUAUUGAGGGUGUUGUAGGCUCUAGCCAAUACUGUAGAUGCUAUUUAAUAUUUGCAUCUCCAUAUUCCACACAGCUUACGGCUACAGUACACCUGCCGUCUUGUUUUCUGCUUCUGUUUUCCUUCUGCACAACCAAGGCUACUAGCAUAUCUAAGUACCCACCCAAUAAAAAAAACAAAACAUAAGCCUGGAGAAAUAAGAAUGUUUUUGCCUGGUGCCUAAAAACAGACAGUGAUGGUGCCAGGCAUGCUUCCCUGGGGAAAGCAUUCCAUAAUGAGGGAGCCACUACAGAAAAGGCCCAUUCUCAUGUUGCCACCCUCUGAACCUCUUGUGGAAUGGGUACACAAAGAAGCGCCCCAAUGAUAAACUCAGGUUCUGGGGUGGUUCAUGUCAGGAGAGGCAGACCUUGAGGUAUUGGCAUUCUGAGCCUCAUAAAGCUUUAAAGGACAAAACUAGUGAUAUAACCAUUUGUGAUAGCUCAACAACCUGUUUGCGAAUGAAACCCCUGUACGGCUCCAACUGCGUUCUUAUUUAUUUAUAUAGGAAAAUGAACAGCUUAAUCAAAGAGCUUUCUGCGCAUAACAGAAUUGAAAACAACCCACAGCUGAAAUCCACAAAGCUAUUACAAGCAAGUGUACAUUAGAUAAUUAUCAUUAAAGCACAGAUAACAUCAGUGCUUUUAAAAUGAAUAUAAGUGACGAAAUUAUAUGUCUGGGCAGGCUUGCUGAAGUAAAAGCAGUUUUCAGCAGGCGUCUCAAACUAUGCAGCGAGGGCGUCUGCCUAAUGUCAAAUAUUUCUUCUGGAAUAAAUGGCUGCAAUCUUGUGCGUAGGCCCCAAACGGCCUUCUUCUUUUCUCUCUUUUCCUCUGUGCUCUCUGGGACACUCCAGAUGUUUUGAACUACAACUCCCAUCAGCCCUCAACCAUGUGGAGCGCACCAGGAUGACAAAGCCUGCUUCAUACAGCGGCUACCCUGCUGUUAACCAUGUCAGAUCUCUGAUUUUCCAAAAAGUGACAACAAACGCCUCUUCCUAAACUAGGUGAAGGGUGCAUCUGAAAGUAACCUUAAACUGAAAAGUGCCCUGUGUGGGACAUGUUAUUUGUUGACAUAUUUAAACUGAAAGCAGUUGCCUCUAAGACGUUUACGCUGUUUACAAUCUAAACUCUUUUUUUUUUCUAUAAGAAAACUGGUAGAACGAGAUGGAAAGGAAAGGGAAGAAAACACUAGGAAUUUUCCUACCGCCUAUCUUUUGCAGAGGAUGGCAACACGACUGGUACAUAUCCCUUUGAGCAGGGGAAAGAGAAUGCAGAUGGGGAGGAAUCACCUUGUUUUUUCCAUCUCCUGGCUUCUUGUCAUCAUCAACGCCGUCACUUAUUUAUAGGACAGCUUUCCAUAGAAAACUACACUCACAAGGCAGUCUACAAGGAGAAAAAUACAUAAUUCACAAGUUACAAAAUAUAACAAAAUGUAAAUGUUAA